rnacentral:rRNA from 1 species
AGUGAACGCUGGCGGUAGGCCUAACACAUGCAAGUCGAACGGCAGCACAGAGGAGCUUGCUCCUUGGGUGGCGAGUGGCGGACGGGUGAGGAAUACAUCGGAAUCUACUCUGUCGUGGGGGAUAACGUAGGGAAACUUACGCUAAUACCGCAUACGACCUACGGGUGAAAGCAGGGGACCUUCGGGCCUUGCGCGAUUGAAUGAGCCGAUGUCGGAUUAGCUAGUUGGCGGGGUAAAGGCCCACCAAGGCGACGAUCCGUAGCUGGUCUGAGGGGAUGAUCAGCCACAAUGGAAUUGGGACACGGUCCGGACUCCUACGGGAGGAAGCAGUGGGGAAUAUUGGACAAUGGGCGCAAGCCUGAUCCAGCCAUACCGCGUGGGUGAAGAAGGCCUUCGGGUUGUAAAGCCCUUUUGUUGGGAAAGAAAUCCAGCUGGCUAAUACCCGGUUGGGAUGACGGCACCCAAAGAAUAAGCACCGGCUAACUUCGUGCCAGCAGCCGCCGCCG